CCGAGGAGGUCACAUGACACAAAAAUUGCUGAAGGUCUACCAGAAGGACAAAUGAAAUGCACACACCCGGGCUGAUUUAGCAGCCUCCCAGCUGUGCAGAGACGGAGGCUUUUCUUGGGAUUCCUGAGAACUUGUGCCCUGAGAGAUGACCAGGAAUAAACAACUGGGGACGCUCAAGUGUACAGCACUUAUGAAGCACCAGGAAGAUGCUCCGAAGAAUGAUACAUGUUACCUGUUAAUUCUGAUGAUAAUAAUACCAACCAUUG